rnacentral:rRNA from 1 species
UACGUAGGGGGCAAGCGUUGUCCGGAUUUAUUGGGCGUAAAGAGCGUGUAGGCGGCCUGACAGGUCUGCUGUGAAAACUCGAGGCUCAACCUCGAGAUGUCGGCGGAAACCGUCUGGCUAGAGUCCGGAAGAGGAGAGUGGAAUUCCUGGUGUAGCGGUGAAAUGCGCAGAUAUCAGGAAGAACACCUAUGGCGAAGGCAGCUCUCGGGGACGGUACUGACGCUGAGACGCGAAAGCGUGGGGAGCGAACAGG